GCCAGAAUGUCAAUCCUGAACAUGGUAGCCCGAUGGCCUGGGGGCACGCACGAUUCUUUUAUUUUCCAAAAUAGCAACGUUGGCCAUCGUCUACAUCAGGGCGCACUUCAUGGUCAGAGUCAUCUCAUCGGUGAAAAGGGUAUGCCCUGAACGAGUAGGCUAUCUAAUAACUCCUCUGGCUUAUCCGAACACGGAUCAGGAGCGCAACUUCAACAGCGCUCACACGCGCACACGGGCAACGGUGGAGCGAUGUAUAGGCCUACUCAAGGGCAGGUGGAUGUCCAUCGGGUCAGCGGGGGGAACGUUGCUCUACAGCCCAGAAAAGACAUGCAAUAUUAUAUUAGCAUGAGGGGUUCUGCAUAAUAUUGCGCUGGCAAAUGGGGUGCCAUUUGCAGACCUGCAGCCAGAUGACCCGAUGCCCAGAGAUCCCUGGCCACAGGCGCCACAUGCUCGAGCUCUACGACGAAGGGAGGAUUUAAUUCGGCUCUUCUAAUAUCUAAGGGGACGGGUUCUGAAGCAACAAGCUCCUCCCAGCUCUGCGUUAGUGCCCCCUGCUGGACGGACUCUCGGCCCAUGUGCCGGUGUUGCUAUGCAGGCGCAAGACAGAAAUGUUCCUGAACUUAGCUGCAUGCGUGAAUAGUGUAAAACACUAACAGUGCCUGCAAUGUUAUUCCAGUAGUUUACCUGGAAGGGGCUUCAUAUUGCUUUCCAAGCUAGAGCGGCUCUGGGCUCAUGACAGAUGAGCAUUCGAUGACUUGCAAGAGUUUCACAGCCUCCAAAAUACAGCGGGUGGCCAACGAUCCGACGGGACAAUGACAUGUGAUUUGCGAUGGGGUUUGUUGAGAUCUACACACUUGAGCGGGCAGAAUAAAGGGCCAUCGACGUAGCGCUGCUUGGUUAUAGAUUUAGAUCGGAUCAAAAUAUCUGCUGGGCUGUGUGUACUUAGGACCCCCCUAACACACACAUGCACGGACAGCCUCCCUUGAGGGCAGCAAAAACGUAUUUACGGAUGUCUUUUUGUCCAGUGCCGGUUGAUUAGACGUGGGACUGGGAUAACCCAGAUGGAAUUUUCCGGAUCAACCACAGCUUCUGCUGCCACAAGCCAUGGCCAUACAUUUGCCUCUGGGUCUUUAAAAGAAAGGAAAUCCCCAAAUAAAUGUUUGAGGAUAAUGGAUUUCAGCCCCCAUGAUGUAUUACAGAGGUAUUGAAUCCAAAUGUCAAGGUCCACGAAGAGAACAUUUACACAAUAGUGAUGGACGAUUCAUGAAUGAUUCGAUCUAUUAGAAUGAAUGUUUAAUGUAAUCUGCUACAUAUGACUUGUAUCUGCGGGUGGAUGUGCAUUUUGUUCAUUCGUUCUUGGACUUGCACAUGCAGACUACUUCAUUGAUCUGGUAGGCUACUCCGUACCUGUGAUUGGAUCUUCAGUGUUACCGUGUAUCAACCAGUAUAUGUGCAACCGCAGUCGAACUACCAUGUAUGACAAGCAUUAGUUAUAUGAUCCGGUACAUAUAGGGCCCUAUCUUGCAUCCAGCGCAAUUGACUUUCUACACUGAAGCAUGUGUUGUUGAUAGUUUGCAACUGGCGCGGAGCGUUCUUUUCCCUCCACCGCCACUCGUCUGUAAAUUAGGGGAGAUCUUGUGCCCCAAGGGGCGGUUCGGCGAAAGGAGGUGUGUUUCUUGCUCAAACGUUCCCUGUUCCGCCACAAACCAGGAAAUACCUGGUUUAUAGUCAGUGGCGAGUUGUUCAGAUAUACACACAUGUUGCUUGUGCACCUUGCGCAUAGACUUUACUUCUCUCAUCUAUCUAG
ensembl:lncRNA